rnacentral:rRNA from 1 species
AUAUUGCACAAUGGAGGAAACUCUGAUGCAGCGACGCCGCGUGAGUGAAGAAGGUCUUCGGAUCGUAAAACUCUGUCCUUGGUGACGAAAAAAUGACGGUAGCCAAGGAGGAAGCCCCGGCUAACUACGUGCCAGCAGCCGCGGUAAUACGUAGGGGGCGAGCGUUGUCCGGAUUUACUGGGCGUAAAGGGGGAGUAGGCGGUAAUAUGUGUCAGAUGUAAAAGGCUAUGGCUUAACCAUAGUUGGCAUUUGAAACUGUAUUACUUGAGUGCAGGAGAGGUAAGUGGAAUUCCUAGUGUAGCGGUGAAAUGCGUAGAUAUUAGGAGGAACACCAGUGGCGAAGGCGACUUACUGGACUGUAACUGACGCUGAGUCACGAAAGCGUGGGUAGCAAACA